AAAAAGAAGAAAGAAAAAAC
rnacentral:sRNA from 1 species